GAGUUCCCACCAUCAUGCUGAGCCUGAAGGACACAGAGCAAACUGUCACAUUGAUGAAUUAAUCAAGACAUACACAUAGUGAUGUUCAUUAUUAUGGUGAACUAGAAAUCUUAUGUUGUGUGCUCCACAUUCAAGUGGGGGUCUUCAAGGUUGCAUAAGAAAUUAAUUCUCAUUACUAGACAAGCAAAACUUGUGGCAAUAUCAGUGAGUAAUAUUUUUGCUAUUCCCUUUCCGAUUCACCACAUUGGUUUAUUUAUUCCAUGAAAUAUUAUUUCAAAUUGAAAAUUUGAAAUAAAGCCAAGAAUAGCUAUUCUAUUCUCAUCUUAUUCCAUGCUAUUUCAUAAACCAAAUGAACCCCAUCUUCCUAUCCAAAUUAUCAGUAACCGGAAGCAAAUAUAGUGAUGCAGCAAUCAUUCUUGGGAAAAAUGUUUGCAGUAAGUAGAUCUAAUGAAUGAUUUUUCACUUGGAUAUAUGCAUGAUUGUAAUGUGCAUGGGACUUGUGACUUACCAAACAUCAAAAUGCCUACAGAA
rnacentral:misc_RNA from 1 species